UACAGAGGUCCCAAGCGUUGUUCGGAUUCACUGGGCGUAAAGGGUGCGUAGGCGGUCAGGUAAGUCUGAUGUGAAAUCUCUGGGCUUAACCCAGAAAUGGCAUUGGAUACUAUUUGGCUUGAGAGUUGGAGGGGGACUGGAAUUCUUGGUGUAGCAGUGAAAUGCGUAGAUAUCAAGAGGAACACCAGUGGCGAAGGCGAGUCCCUGGACAACUUCUGACGCUGAGGCACGAAAGCUAGGGGAGCAAACAGG
rnacentral:rRNA from 1 species